rnacentral:rRNA from 1 species
UACGGAGGGGGGCGAGCGUUAUUCGGAAUUACUGGGCGUAAAGGGCUCGUAGGCGGCCAACUAAGUCAGACGUGAAAUCCCUCGGCUUAACCGGGGAACUGCGUCUGAUACUGGAUGGCUUGAGGUUGGGAGAGGGAUGCGGAAUUCCAGGUGUAGCGGUGAAAUGCGUAGAUAUCUGGAGGAACACCGGUGGCGAAGGCGGCAUCCUGGACCAAUUCUGACGCUGAGGAGCGAAAGCCAGGGGAGCAAACGGG